rnacentral:lncRNA from 1 species
UAGGGCAUCACGAACCAUCCUGCUUCAAGGGAGCCUGCGGGUCUGACUGCAGCUUCAGCUAUGACCUGGAGUUCCCGGGCUUCUCUGCGGGGCACCAGUCUGUAUGCUCCAUUUUAGAUAAUAAAAAUUGGCAUAUUCUGGGGUGGGCAGGAUACGGGGUUCACCUGCAGAUGAACAGGGCAGGAAAAGCUUGAUGGGGUGUCGGGGGAAUCUGGUUGGCCUUAAAGGGAAUUUGGGGUCCUGUUCCUGAAUUUGGUAGGCAGCAUGCAUGUAAGGCUUGAAGUGGGUUUGGCCAGAGCAUGGGCUGGAGUGCUUCCACCCUGCUACACGGACAAUGCCACAGUCUCACUUUUCCUAACUUUUUUUUUUAAUAAAAUGUGAACAACA